AUCUUCUUCUUUUAGGUCUGG
rnacentral:misc_RNA from 1 species